ensembl:scaRNA SCARNA14 Small Cajal body specific RNA 14
GUGACAGCCUGGUACUGGCUUCAGUGGUGAGUUGAAUGCACUGAAGUCGACGGCAGUCACAUACAGAAACGUGACUCCUACCGACGGGACCUGCCAAGUAGUUGGAUUACCUGUGCGAUGGUUUCAUACAAA